UCAGAUGUGCAAUGUGGAUGGUCU
rnacentral:sRNA from 1 species